rnacentral:rRNA from 1 species
UACAGAGGUCCCGAGCGUUGUUCGGAUUCAUUGGGCGUAAAGGGUGCGUAGGCGGCUGGGUAAGUUUGAUGUGAAAUCCUGGGGCUCAACCCUGGAACUGCAUUGAAUACUGCUCGGCUAGAGUACUGGAGAGGAAACUGGAAUUUACGGUGUAGCAGUGAAAUGCGUAGAUAUCGUAAGGAAGACCAGUGGCGAAGGCGAGUUUCUGGACAGUUACUGACGCUGAGGCACGAAGGCCAGGGGAGCAAACGGG